GGAAAAGCUGUAGCUCAAUGGUAGAAAGCAUCUGCUUUGUAUACAGAAGGUCCCCGGUUCAAUCCCCAGCAGCUCCC